AUUGAACGCUGGCGGCAGGCUUAACACAUGCAAGUCGAGCGGAGAUGAGGUGCUUGCACCUUAUCUUAGCGGCGGACGGGUGAGUAAUGCUUAGGAAUCUGCCUAUUAGUGGGGGACAACAUUCCGAAAGGAAUGCUAAUACCGCAUACGUCCUACGGGAGAAAGCAGGGGAUCUUCGGACCUUGCGCUAAUAGAUGAGCCUAAGUCGGAUUAGCUAGUUGGUGGGGUAAAGGCCUACCAAGGCGACGAUCUGUAGCGGGUCUGAGAGGAUGAUCCGCCACACUGGGACUGAGACACGGCCCAGACUCCUACGGGAGGCAGCAGUGGGGAAUAUUGGACAAUGGGGGGAACCCUGACCCAGCAAUGCCGCGUGUGUGAAGAAGGCCUUAUGGUUGUAAAGCACUUUAAGCGAGGAGGAAGCUACUGAGACUAAUACUCUUGGAUAGUGGACGUUACUCGCAGAAUAAGCACCGGCUAACUCUGUGCCAGCCGCCGCCGUAACAC
rnacentral:rRNA from 1 species